AACCGAGUUUACCAACGGCUAUUAUUAGAUAAACUGCUCCGGUUCAUUUGAACAGUAGUAAUGUAGAGUACAUGACGUAGCGUGUGACGAAGAAGAAAGUUUAUCGGGUUCAUAAACUCAUUUGAAUAAAGUGAUAGAAUGGCAUAAGGGUCUUUAUUUAACUAAGCUAAAAUAAUUAUUAAAGACCCUAGAUGCAAAAUCGUCAAUUAUUGAGUUAAAUGGAUUAUUAAAUGGAUUUUAAAGGAUAAUUAAAGCUGGAAAGCUCAAUGAUGGGGCAAUGUCAAGGUCUGACACAACAUCCGGGUUCAGAGGAUAUACUCCACUUUUCUUGAAGGCUGCUUGAACAUUGGAUGGUGUCAGAGUGUAAGAAUAUACCUUGCAUGCCAAUCUGCACACAUCAUACCGGUUUAUUACUCGUCCACCAGAUUCUCGCAUGUAGCCAUGGCAUGUUGAGUUCCAGGAAACUUCAAAUGGGCCAAAACAACUAAUGUCUAAUGGCUGGAGCAAGUGGCUGCAAUGUGGAGGCAAGACAAACAGAAUUAUAUGGUUUUCUUUGGCCCAUUGAAUCAGUGGCAGUGAUAUGUGGCUUUUAUGACCAUCAUAGAGGACAAGCACUGGGGAUUUGGCAUUGUGGGGUGGCAAAUACUUCACUAAAUGCUCCUUCAUGUACUGGCUGAAGAUAUCAGUGUUUGACCAACCCGUUUCGGAAACAACACCUGUAGCUCCAGUGGAAGCACCUUGCAGUAAUUCAGGUAACAUUCGCUUGCCGGGAAAGACAAAAAAUGGUGGUACCUGAUUCCCCAUGGCAUUGGCUCCUCCAAUCAAGGUUACAGUUUGAGACCUUCCAGAUGUUAUUGCCUUGGCCUUGUAUACAGCACCAGUGAUAAUUUUUGGGGGUUUGUGGUCGACUGAUAGGCCUUUCUCGUCAACAUUGAAAAUUGCUUCAGGCCGACUCAGCAAAUCAUUUUCACUCAGGAUC